rnacentral:rRNA from 1 species
UACGUAGGGCGCAAGCGUUGUCCGGAAUUAUUGGGCGUAAAGAGCUCGUAGGCGGUCUGUUACGUCCGCUGUGAAAACCCAGGGCUUAACCCUGGGCUUGCAGUGGAUACGGGCAGACUAGAGGCAGGUAGGGGAGAAUGGAAUUCCCGGUGUAGCGGUGAAAUGCGCAGAUAUCGGGAGGAACACCGGUGGCGAAGGCGGUCUCUC